AUUGAACGCUGGCGGCAUGCUUUACACAUGCAAGUCGAACGGUAACAGGGUGCUUGCACCGCUGACGAGUGGCGAACGGGUGAGUAAUGCAUCGGAAUGUACCGUGUAAUGGGGGAUAGCUCGGCGAAAGCCGGAUUAAUACCGCAUACGCCCUGAGGGGGAAAGUGGGGGACCGAAAGGCCUCACGUUAUAUGAGCAGCCGAUGUCUGAUUAGCUAGUUGGUGAGGUAAAGGCUCACCAAGGCGUCGAUCAGUAGCGGGUCUGAGAGGAUGAUCCGCCACACUGGGACUGAGACACGGCCCAGACUCCUACGGGAGGCAGCAGUGGGGAAUUUUGGACAAUGGGCGCAAGCCUGAUCCAGCCAUGCCGCGUGUCUGAAGAAGGCCUUCGGGUUGUAAAGGACUUUUGUCCGGGAGCAAAUCCUAGUGGUUAAUACCUACUGGGGCUGAGAGUACCGGAAGAAUAAGCACCGGCUAACUACGUG
rnacentral:rRNA from 1 species